rnacentral:rRNA from 1 species
UACGUAGGGGGCAAGCGUUGUCCGGAAUCAUUGGGCGUAAAGAGCGUGUAGGCGGCCAGAAAAGUCCGCUGUGAAAACUCGAGGCUCAACUUCGAGCUGUCGGUGGAAACUUUCUGGCUAGAGUCCGGAAGAGGAGAAUGGAAUUCCUGGUGUAGCGGUGAAAUGCGCAGAUAUCAGGAAGAACACCUAUGGCGAAGGCAGCUCUCUGGGACGGUACUGACGCUGAGGCGCGAAAGCGUGGGGAGCGAACAGG